CUGAACCAUCGAUUUGUGUGCUCUUGUCAGUCAUUCAGUCUUUGGGAGAACACUUGAAGCUGAGGCAACAGGUUAUCGCCACCGCUACUGUCUACUUCAAACGCUUCUAUGCAAGAUAUUCACUAAAAAGUAUCGACCCGGUUCUCAUGGCUCCGACCUGUGUUUUCUUAGCUUCCAAAGUGGAGGUAUGGACACUUUCAGAAGUCUUCACU